rnacentral:rRNA from 1 species
CAGCCGCCACGGUAAUACGUAGGUCCCGAGCGUUGUCCGGAUUUAUUGGGCGUAAAGGGAGCGCAGGCGGUUUAGUAAGUCUGAAGUUAAAGGCAUUGGCUCAACCAAUGUAUGCUUUGGAAACUGUUAGACUUGAGUGCAGAAGGGGAGAGUGGAAUUCCAUGUGUAGCGGUGAAAUGCGUAGAUAUAUGGAGGAACACCGGUGGCGAAAGCGGCUCUCUGGUCUGUCACUGACGCUGAGGCUCGAAAGCGUGGGGAGCAAACAGGAUUAGAUACCCGAGUAGUCCCUGUCUCUUAUACA